AAGAGAGAAUCGAGGAGGAUUGGAAGAAAUUUAAGAACUACCUACAAAAACAUUGUGAUUUGAUUGAAUGCUGAAUAAGAUGCUGGACUAAAUAACUGAGCACCACUUAACUUAGAAAUUUUUAAGGAAACAAGAAAAAUUGUGAAAGCUUAACUCUUUAUGAGAACUUUAAGAUUAUGAAAUAUCGAAGAGAUUUAAGAAUUUAAAUAAGAUGAUAAAUUGCUGACAAAAUGUUAUAAUGAUGAAGGUGGGAGCGGGAGAUGUGAGGAAGUCCUAAGAAAAUGUGAAAAUAUGUUAAGACGAAUGCUAUAUUGUUUAUUACAUUUAUUCCUAUUGUAAAACCUAAUAAAUUGCUUUU